CGCCUUUUGAACUACAAACAUAAAAGGUCCUGCCUGCCCAGUGACACUUGUUUCAACGGCCGCGGUAUCAUGACCGUGCAAAGGUAGCGUAAUCACUUGUCUUUUAAAUAAAGACCAGUAUGAAUGGCAAGACGAAAGCCUAACUGUCUCCCUAAGUUAGUCAAUAAAAUUGAUUUUCCCGUGCAGAAGCGGGAAUAAUAAUAUAAGACGAGAAGACCCUGUGGAGCUUCAAACUUAAACUAACAAACUAUAAAUGCCUUAGCACAAGUUUUGGGUUGGGGCGACCAUGAGGUAAAACAUAACCCUCAAGACAAAAACUAAGAAGGACACUUCAAAUAAAUAAAAUAGUGUAAUUGACCCAAUAAUUGAUCAACGGACCAAGUUACCCCAGGGAUAACAGCGCAAUCUACUCAAAGAGCCCUUAUCGAAGAGCAGGUUUACGACCUCGAUGUUGGAUCAGGACUCCCAAAUAAUGCAACAGUUAUUAAAGGUUCGUUUGUUCAACGAUUAAAGUCCU
rnacentral:rRNA from 1 species